AAUGAAAGAAGGUUUCUGAAAUUAUCUCAGAACUUUAAGAGAAACUUAUGAAAGCAAAUACAUUUGAGUCAAAUCAUCAUUAUGGCUUAAAAUGUUGCCAUUGCUUUUCUCAUUACAGAACAAUUGCUGUUAAAGGUAGCAGGAGGGAUUUCUGAUUUCUCCCCGCACACUUCAUUGCACACAUGCACACACAGUACGCACAUACCUGGGGCAUGUGGAGGGCUUGGAAUGGAGAGUAGUAACAAAACCAUCCAGUUGAUGGGCAGGAAUGGAUGCCAUUGUAGGUCUAAGCUGAGUCCCAGGGUGUAUCCCCGGGCAAUUCUGAUGUAUGUUGUUUCUAAGAGCUACUGCCCUCAAUUCAUUGUUCCUUGGUUGUGUCAAUCUGGGCAGCGUAGGUAGCAGAAAUGUUUGGCCUAUGAUUGUGCUAUGGCCCCUUGCUUAACCUAAUGAAACAAAAUCUCUGUAGGGCAUAAGAAUAAAAGGUGUUUACUUUCUCAUGAAAACCAGAAGUAUUCUGGUUUUUCACAAGAGUUCUUAUCACAGCACUUCAACUGAGCUAAAUCAAAGGCCAGUGCUCUGUUUUGCAGGUAUACGUUAAAAGACUUAUACGUUAUGCUGAUCUCGACAUUUGUCCAACCAACUGGAAGAGGAUUAUCUUAGGAGCCAUUCUUCUUGCCCUCAAGACUGGGAGUGAAGACACUGUGUGCCUUGAGGACUACUGCGAGCUCUUUGAGAACCUUACAGUUGAAGAUACGUGGGAGCUAAGCCAUGAGGAUCCAAGUCAUAAGAAUGAUACAGUGGCCUUUGGGACUACAGCAGGAAGGAUGCGAGGGGGGUGAUGGAUAAAAGAUUACAUAUUGGGAAUGAGUUGGAAGAGUACUUCUUGGAGCUAAUUGAUUAUAAUUUCAUCAUUCCUGGAAAGGUUUAUACCAGAUACUACUUCUAUCUUCGUGCCUUGGCACACAAGCAUGGCCUGUGUUUGCCAGUUUACCUUCUUGAGAGAGAAAGCGCAUGGAAGCUACAGGUAAGGCAUGAAGUUACUAAGUGGGUUUUCAGUCAAACACCAAUGCCAACGUCUGUGACUAGGUCAUAUUAAGCAAUGAUUAGAAAAAUGGAAAGCUUCAAAAUUAACUAACAUACUGAAGCGCUUAUUAACCUUUUGGCAUUCUGUUUUCUGUAUCUUUUAUGGUUUUUAUAAAGAUUCACAUUAUUUGAAAAUUAUAGAUAUUAUCUCUUUUGUGAC